GCCAAUGUAGCUCAGCUGGCAGAGCAACACUUUCGUAAAGCUCAGGUCGUCGGUUCGAAUCCGAUCAUUGGCUCCG
rnacentral:tRNA from 1 species